AGAUUUCUUUGAUAUAGUUUUAAUACUUGUCACUUAAGAUCUAUAGAUACGUAAGUCAGAAGAUCGGUUAAGUUUUCAUCGUCAAACAUAUAAACUAGACGAAGUCCGUGACGUAAUUUUCUUCUACAAUAUUGGCCGUGGUGGUCAAGAAGAGUGAGAUACUGCUCGAUUGCAUCGUGUACGAGUCGUUAUCGCACGCCCGUAUGAAACAAAUGUUCGCGAAGUAUUCGAAAUAGAAUAAUUAAUAAUCAUGUUUUAUCAUUCUGUUCGUUCAUCCGUCUGUCUCGCGUCAAUCCCUGGAGGCCUGGAAUCAUCGUCGCUGCUGCUGCUGCUGCUGCCGCCGCCGCCGCCGUCGUCGUCGUCGUUGUUGUCCGUUCGAUUCCAGUCCGCGAUCGUCGGUUGUGGCAACACUGCGAUCGCGACGCGUCUGUAUUGUGCGUUCCCUCGCGCGCGAGCCUGCCGCGCCGUUCGUCGUGUUGUGUUGUUACCUGGUACAUGUGUGCGUGUGCGCGCCGUGUGUUGCGGGGCGAGACCGGUUUGGCGUCAUUCGCGAACACCGCAGACAAGGAGCAUUUGACCAUGAUUUGUGCCGGGCUGAGGUCGUUUCUUCUCACCCAUUGUCUUCGUAGACCUUCAAGGACUCUGCAACCACCUGUCCGUCAUAAUAUUGAACACGGAAACACAAAAAGCAGUAUAAGCUAUACCAAUCAUUGAUAAGAGAAUUAAUAGUUCAAUUAAACCAAUACAGUAUUUGUGAAUGGUUAUAUUGAUUCUUUUCAUACAUUUUAUACAUUAUAAAAUAUGUAUACCAACAAAAUAAAUGUUGGUAUUGAGAUUGACUAUCUACCAUUAAUGUAAAUUUUGCAUGUUAUUUUAUAAAUCAAAACUAAUUUAAGGCAUGCAGUAAACCACUAUAUUUGUGG